CUCACUCAAGUGGAACAGUGAUGAAGACACAGUGUGCCUACCAUCCCACUUCAACUGUUUCUCUCUACUUCCACAGACUCCUCAGAAGGAGCGUUACGGACUCUGCCAGUGAGACCAUGCCGAUUCAAGACAUUGCAGGUGGCCACCAUCUUUAACCACUCUCUUGCCUGACCAGCUUGUGGACUAGAGAGCCAGAGACACUAAAAGCAUCUGAAACUCUUUUGUUGUGUGUUUACUCAUUACCGCUUGUGUAGUCGGGCACACCACACUCUUCCCAACAGUAAGUAUAAAAGCAGUUACCUUGCUGCUAUAGAGGCUAUUGCACUUACUGUAAGUGAACGUCUGAAGCAUGGUGUAGAUCCAGCAUCCCCCAUACAUUUAGAGGCCAGGCCUAGGCUAUAGCUUAUUUAAAUUGAGUGCUGAGGUGCAGGGAGAUCAUGCACAAGUAUGAUAAGAGUCCUUAUGUGUACAUGAAGUCUCUACAGCUGCAUCCAAUCAGUCAGAGAAACAUUUGAGUGGACUCUCUUGCACUCUAAAAAUUAAGGGUUCAACAAGGGUUCUUCUACGAGCUUUGAAGUUCUUCAGAGAACCUUGGGGUUCUUGGCACUGAAAAUAACCCCAAAGGGUUCUUCCAAGAACCCCAUAGGAGGUGGGGGUUCAUCGAGGAACCUCCUUAGUUGGUGGGGGUUCUUGCAGGAACCUAACUGCCCAACGUUUGGAUUUGAAUUUGAAAGAACAGCAGGUGCAGGCACUUAACUGGAAAAUGUGAAGAUCUUCUCAAUUUAAGAAAAUGGACACUUCAAUGGAUAUCAAGAGUUAAGAAUAUGUUGAAGGCUAGUUGUAUUGGGUGCAGAUGACUGAAGUGCUCACUUCCGGUAUACAGACGAGGCGGCAUGCAAAGUUAUAUCUUGGUGUGUUAUGCACAACACAUUUACCAUCCUCCUCCCUUACCUCUUCAAUGAAUAUACCAUAGGCCUCUACAUUAUGGACAAGACGUCACCCUCCCUACACCUCUGCAUUUAACAGAAAACCUGUUGAAUCACAACGUACUGCAAAAUCAUUCUGGCUAUGUACACGGAGAACAUCAACACACCAGAGGAUAUACCCAUUAUACUUGGGGCUCUGCUGGGAGUUUACCUCAUAUUUAGAUUUUUUAAUUCUGCUGUGCCACUAUAAUCCAAAUAA